rnacentral:rRNA from 1 species
AACGAACGCUGGCGGCAGGCCUAACACAUGCAAGUCGAGCGCGCCCUUCGGGGUGAGCGGCGGACGGGUGAGUAACGCGUGGGAACGUACCCUUUGCUACGGAAUAGCCUCGGGAAACUGGGAGUAAUACCGUAUGUGCCCUUCGGGGGAAAGAUUUAUCGGCAAAGGAUCGGCCCGCGUUGGAUUAGGUAGUUGGUGGGGUAAUGGCCUACCAAGCCGACGAUCCAUAGCUGGUUUGAGAGGAUGAUCAGCCACACUGGGACUGAGACACGGCCCAGACUCCUACGGGAGGCAGCAGUGGGGAAUCUUAGACAAUGGGCGCAAGCCUGAUCUAGCCAUGCCGCGUGAGCGAUGAAGGCCUUAGGGUUGUAAAGCUCUUUCAGUGGGGAAGAUAAUGACUGUACCCACAGAAGAAGCCCCGGCUAACUCCGUGCCAGCCGCCGCCGUAACAC